GGAUGCGAUCAUACCAGCACUAAAGCACCGGAUCCCAUUAGAACUCUGAAGUUAAGCGUGCUUGGGCGAGAGUAGUANNNN
rnacentral:rRNA from 1 species